ensembl:snRNA LOC120093935 U7 small nuclear RNA
GGCUAACACAGCUCCUUUAGAAAUGUUCUAGCAGGUUUUCUGACUUUUGUCAGGAAACCAAA